GUGGGGAAUAUUGGUCAAUGGGGGAAACCCUGACCCAGCGACGCCGCGUGAGGGAAGAAGGCCUUAGGGUCGUAAACCUCUGUUGUGUGGGAAGAAGAGCGUGACGGUACCACACGAGGAAGUCCCGGCUAACUACGUGCCAGCAGCCGCGGUAAUACGUAGGGGACGAGCGUUGUCCGGAUUUACUGGGCGUAAAGGGCGCGUAGGCGGUCAUUUAAGUCAGCUGUGAAAUGGUUUGGCUUAACCGGAUCAUGCGGUUGAAACUGGAUGACUGGAGUGCUGGAGAGGCAAGUGGAAUUCCCAGUGUAGCGGUGAAAUGCGUAGAUAUUGGGAAGAACACCGGUGGCGAAGGCGACUUGCUGGCCAGCAACUGACGCUGAGGCGCGAAAGCCAGGGGAGCAAACGGGAUUAGAUACCCCUGUAGUC
rnacentral:rRNA from 1 species